rnacentral:lncRNA from 1 species
CAUGAAAAGUGUAUUAUCCUCUCUUCAUGCUCUUCAAAGAUGCAGCUAAGCUGAAAUUAUGUGAUAUGUAUGGUUCAUCUGUAUAUUGAAGUCUGUCUCUCUUCAUCCAUUCAGAUACAUAGAUCAACCAUGAUGACUCUUUUCCUUCAUUCAAUUGACAAGAGACGCUGCACCCAACAAGAGCAGCCUUUUCAAGUGCACAUGGAGCAUUCCCCAAGAUAUGUCAUAGUGUGGGCCAUUACAUAUCUCAUGAAAUUUUAAAGAGUUGAUGUUAGGUUGUUUAAUUUGAGUAAAUAAGAAAGCUUCUGC